CCUAGCAGUCUCUGGUGUUUGUUUUGGGGUGAUUUGGGGCGAUUUUAAAAACUUGGGCACAACACUCUGGCAUGGACUUUGGCCCUGUCUUUCUCAGAUUUGGGGCCUCCAGCCCCCAGAACGAACAGUGCUCCCAAACCCAGGAAGCCCAGCAUUCACGCAGGCCUCCAAGAGGAAUGGCCUCCAGUUUGUGGGAACUUCCGGUUCGAAGGAAAAACUUCGCAGCAAUGACAGAGCCAGUGAGGUCAUGAUGAUCACCAUGACCACAACGCUGUGAAGCGCCCCAGAACUUGUGUGCAUCUGCCUAGAAAGGAAAUGUAAAUCGCCAGCUCGGGGCUCUCUGGUUCUCUCUGCUCCACUAGCUGGGGUGGGCGGAGGCCCAGGUUCGAACCUGCA